rnacentral:rRNA from 1 species
UGGGGAAUAUUGGGCAAUGGACGCAAGUCUGACCCAGCAACGCCGCGUGAAGGAAGAAGGCUUUCGGGUUGUAAACUUCUUUUAAGGGGGAAGAGCAGAAGACGGUACCCCUUGAAUAAGCCACGGCUAACUACGUGCCAGCAGCCGCGGUAAUACGUAGGUGGCAAGCGUUGUCCGGAUUUACUGGGUGUAAAGGGCGUGCAGCCGGAGAGACAAGUCAGAUGUGAAAUCCACAGGCUCAACCUGUGAACUGCAUUUGAAACUGUUUCCCUUGAGUAUCGGAGAGGUCAUCGGAAUUCCUAG